CCCCUCUCAGGGUCACACCUGGAGAGUUUCCCAUGCUCUACCAGUCUUGACUACGGGAAGGAGAGUCGAGCAGAGGCCUGUCCGUUCCAUUCCUGGCUUGGGCUGUGGCUAGUGAGUGGAAGGCAAUCUGCUACGGGU
rnacentral:snoRNA from 2 species